UGGGGAAUUUUGGACAAUGGGCGAAAGCCUGAUCCAGCAAUGCCGCGUGUGUGAAGAAGGCCUUCGGGUUGUAAAGCACUUUUGUCCGGAAAGAAAUCCUUGGCUCUAAUACAGUCGGGGGAUGACGGUACCGGAAGAAUAAGCACCGGCUAACUACGUGCCAGCAGCCGCGGUAAUACGUAGGGUGCAAGCGUUAAUCGGAAUUACUGGGCGUAAAGCGUGCGCAGGCGGUUUGCUAUGACCGAUGUGAAAUCCCCGGGCUCAACCUGGGAACUGCAUUGGUGACUGGCAGGCUAGAGUAUGGCAGAGGGGGGUAGAAUUCCACGUGUAGCAGUGAAAUGCGUAGAGAUGUGGAGGAAUACCGAUGGCGAAGGCAGCCCCCUGGGCCAAUACUGACGCUCAUGCACGAAAGCGUGGGGAGCAAACAGGAUUAGAUACCCUGGUAGUCCACGCCCUAAACGAUGUCAACUAGUUGUUGGGGAUUCAUUUCCUUAGUAACGUAGCUAACGCGUGAAGUUGACCGCCUGGGGAGUACGGUCG
rnacentral:rRNA from 1 species